UGGCGAACGGGUGAGUAACACGUGGGUGAUCUGCCCUGCACGCUGGGAUAAGCCUGGGAAACUGGGUCUAAUAUCGGAUAGGACCAUGCUUUAGUGUGUGUGGUGGAAAGUUUUUUCGGUGUAGGAUGAGCCCGCGGCCUAUCAGCUUGUUGGUGGGGUAAUGGCCUACCAAGGCGGCGACGGGUAGCCGGACUGAGAGGUUGGUCGGCCACAUUGGGACUGAGAUACGGCCCAG
rnacentral:rRNA from 1 species